rnacentral:rRNA from 1 species
UACGUAGGGGACAAGCGUUGUCCGGAUUUACUGGGCGUAAAGAGCGUGUAGGCGGCCAAACAGGUCCGUUGUGAAAACUGGAGGCUCAACUUCCAGACGUCGACGGAAACCGUGUGGCUAGAGUCCGGAAGAGGAGAGUGGAAUUCCUGGUGUAGCGGUGAAAUGCGCAGAUAUCAGGAAGAACACCCGUGGCUAAGGCGGCUCUCUAGUACGGUACUGACGCUGAGACGCGAAAGCGUGGGGAGCGAACAGG